ensembl:antisense Gm12316 predicted gene 12316
AGCGGAUCUCUAUGGCCUUCUCACCCCAGCCCAUUAUCUGGUUGGAGCAGAUGUAGGCUGAAGAGAGAAGAUGGUGGCAGGGCUGUAAGGAGGUUUCAGUCCUAGUCACAUCAGAAUAAGCAGCUUGGGGUGGCUCUUCACUUACCCACAGAGGUGGGCAUCUCUCCCCACUGCAGCACCACAUCCUUGAUGAUCCGCCCGAGUUUCACUAUGAGCUCGGGUGUUGGUGGGAUUGACGUUGACCACAGAGCCCUUCCUCACAUCGAACUGCAGCUGAUCAAGGCGACCACCUUCUCCACCCACUAGGGCUGCCAAAGAGGAGGGAGGGUGGGCUGCAGCCCUCAGUGAUUAUUUCUAUUCCUAUGCCCCUCCAUCUCAUCUUGGCACAUCAGAAUCCUCUGAAGGGGAG